rnacentral:rRNA from 1 species
UACGAGGGGGGCGAGCGUUGUUCGGAAUUAUUGGGCGUAAAGGGUGCGUAGGCGGUUUGGUAAGUCUUGUGUGAAAUCUACAGGCUCAACUUGUAGUCUGCACGAGAAACUGCCGGGCUUGAGUGUGGGAGAGGUGAGUGGAAUUCAUGGUGUAGCGGUGAAAUGCGUAGAUAUCAGGAGGAACACCUGUGGCGAAAGCGGCUCACUGGACCAUAACUGACGCUGAUGCACGAAAGCUAGGGGAGCAAACAGG